CCUUAUUAUUUAUGUAAUAAAACCUACAAUUGACUUUCCUGAGACUUGUAGCAUUCCUUAGACAGGGGAUACCUGCCUUCUGAAACACUGCUCAGAGAAACUGGAGCAAAUAUGCUAUUUUUGAGAUUUAGUCGCCUAUGGGAAGAAAAUCAAAAUUUUAAAUUAGGAAACACUCAGUGGAUUCUGUAAGUUUCUUCAUGGAUAUGCAGAUGAUGAAACUGAAGGGGAGAGAGUGAUUUUCUUAAAAUUGGUAUUCUGAAAUUUAAUGCAGUACUUAUGAAGUCUUUUAUACACUGCCAUUGGAAUGAGUCACUGGACUGUAUUCACCUAAAGUUCAGGUCUGGUCAACAUUUUAGACCCAAAGGUCAACAAACUAUGUAGAUUUGACCCAGAUAACAGAUGCAGUCUGGUACCCAUUUGUGUCAUUUUUAUGUGGCCAAACCUAACUUUGUGGUUUCAUCAUGACAGGCUUUAGUUUGCAGUAGAGAUCUUGUGGCUCAGGAGCCUGAAGAGUUUACUACUCAGCUCUGUGAAUCUUCUUUAAGAUGAUCUUUGAGAAUACCUUUCCAUGUCGUCCUUAAAGCAAGCUAUUGUCAUCCAUUGCUAGCAUUCAGAUUCUCAAGACAAGUAUGUCAUGAGAAAUGAACCUGCAAAGACUACCUGCUUUCUUACCACACUCAUUUCUCCUCACCACUUGUGCCUGCUGAAGGUGAGGCACAAGAAGUUAAGGACAGUUUCUGACCUCAAAUCAGAUUUUACCAUUUUAGGGAUGUAACCUUGAAUGGAUGGUGGUGUUUUAAUUUCUUCCGCUGAACAACUUCAGAAGAUGCAGAGUGAGUUUUGAUGGGAAAGAGACUCUUCAUGGGCUACUCUAGAACAAACAAUGGAAACGGAUCACAGGAAAGAAUGAAGGACAUGGUUCAUGUCUGAUUCAGGUGAUUUCUACAAACAGUUCCAGGAGCUUUCUCCAUUCUCCCAGUUGAGAUUGGCAUUAUGCUUAGAGAAGAAAAAGCGUCUCAAAAGAAAACUAGUCACUCUUGAGGUAGAAUUGCCUCACCUGAAGAGGGAGGAGGUAUUUUUCCUUUUCUCUGAGUCAAGAACUCAUGAUCACCAUCACCCAACCCUGCUCACACACACCCUGACCACCACGGGUCUCUAGGCACUUUAAAUUCUAUGAUUUAUAUGAACUCUUACAGGGACGCAGCUGUUCUCCUGGGCAUAUUCACAACACGUUUUUCCACCCACUCACCUCCCAAGGUGGGUUCUUAAGCAAGUAGCAAAAUGAGGUGUGGGCACUGACACAAAGACCAAUGAGGCAUUUUAAGAGAAGUUAAAUUCAGGAAGCUUUAGGGAAACAAACAAAAAUAAAUUUUAAGAAAUCUGUUUGCAUGGAAAGAUAAAACAAUAAUAGAAUGAGAGAGAGAGAGAGAGAGAGA
rnacentral:lncRNA from 1 species